CGGCCGCGUCGACACAAUGGGGGCGAACCCUGAUCCAGCCAUGCCGCGUGUGUGAAGAAGGCCUUUUGGUUGUAAAGCACUUUAAGCAGUGAAGAAGACUCCGUGGUUAAUACCCACGGACGAUGACAUUAGCUGCAGAAUAAGCACCGGCUAACUCUGUGCCAGCAGCCGCGGUAAUACAGAGGGUGCAAGCGUUAAUCGGAAUUACUGGGCGUAAAGCGAGCGUAGGUGGCUUGAUAAGUCAGAUGUGAAAUCCCCGGGCUUAACCUGGGAACUGCAUCUGAUACUGUUAGGCUAGAAUAGGUGAGAGGAAGGUAGAAUUCCAGGUGUAGCGGUGAAAUGCGUAG
rnacentral:rRNA from 1 species